UAGGUGGCAAGCGUUGUCCGGAUUUACUGGGUGUAAAGGGCGUGCAGCCGGGAAGACAAGUCAGAUGUGAAAUCCCGCGGCUCAACCGCGGAACUGCAUUUGAAACUGUAUUUCUUGAGUAUCGGAGAGGUAACCGGAAUUCCUAGUGUAGCGGUGAAAUGCGUAGAUAUUAGGAAGAACACCAGUGGCGAAGGCGGGUUACUGGACGACAACUGACGGUGAGGCGCGAAAGCGUGGGGAGCAAA
rnacentral:rRNA from 1 species